AAGGAGUAUGUUCGCAAGAAUGAAACUCAAAGGAAUUGAUGGGGGCCCGCACAAGCGGUGGAGCAUGUGGUUUAAUUUGAUGCAAAGUGAAGAACCUUACUAGGGCUUGACAUGCCGCAAAUCCUCUUGAAAGAGAGGGGUGCCCUCAGGAACGCGGACAUAGGUUGUGCAUGGCUGUCAUUAGCUCGUGCCAUAAGGCGUUGGGUUAAGUCUCGCAUUGAGUGCAACCCUCACAUUUAGUUGCCACUAUGAGUUUGGAACCCAGAACAUACCGCAGGUGUUAAGCUGGAGGAAGGAGAGGAUGAGGCCAAGUCAUCAUGCCCCUUAUGCCCUGGGCGACACACGUGCUAUAAUGGGCAGGACAAAGGGUUACGAUCUCUCGAGGGUGAGCUAACUCCAAAAACAUGUCCUCAGUUCGGAUUGCAGGGUGCAACUCUCGCUUUGUCUAAUAUCUACAAUACAUCUUAUUUAUAUAGUACUAAUUUCAUUUUUACG
rnacentral:ncRNA from 1 species